ACCUGACCAUGACAGGAGUUCACUAGCGUACAUAUGAUGUUGCUGCCCAUUUUUAAAAUUCGUAAGAUUCAUUCCAUAUUUUGGAGGUAUUUAAAAGCAAAAUAUUUCCCACUUGGCACAAAUUCAUGCUUGGUGUUGUACUUUUAGAUGUACGAGUUGCAAAGAUGAAAAUCCUUGUCUAGUGUACACAGCUCAAAAAUGAUAGAAGGCUUAGCUAUCAAGCAUCGAGUGUAGCAUAUGUACAAUAAGUGAUAGUAUUUGU
rnacentral:misc_RNA from 1 species